AUUGAACGCUGGCGGCAGGCCUAACACAUGCAAGUCGAGCGGCAGCACGGGGAGCUUGCUCCCUGGUGGCGAGCGGCGGACGGGUGAGUAAUGCAUAGGAAUCUGCCCGGUAGUGGGGGAUAACCUGGGGAAACCCAGGCUAAUACCGCAUACGCCCUACGGGGGAAAGCGGGGGACCUUCGGGCCUCGCGCUAUCGGAUGAGCCUAUGUCGGAUUAGCUGGUUGGUGAGGUAACGGCUCACCAAGGCGACGAUCCGUAGCUGGUCUGAGAGGAUGAUCAGCCACACUGGGACUGAGACACGGCCCAGACUCCUACGGGAGGCAG
rnacentral:rRNA from 1 species